rnacentral:tRNA from 1 species
GUUCCUGUAGUUUAAUGGAAAGAACUGACGCCUCCUAAGCGUCCAAUCCCAGUUCGAGUCUGGGCAGGAACAC